UACGUAGGGUGCGAGCGUUAAUCGGAUUUACUGGGCGUAAAGCGUGCGCAGGCGGCCCGUUAAGACAGGUGUGAAAUCCCUGGGCUCAACCUAGGAAUUGCGCUUGUGACUGGCGGGCUCGAGUACGGUAGAGGGGGGUGGAAUUCCUGGUGUAGCAGUGAAAUCCGUAGAUAUCAGGAGGAACACCGAUGGCGAAGGCAGCCCCCUGGGCCUGUACUGACGCUCAUGCACGAAAGCGUGGGGAGCAAACAGG
rnacentral:rRNA from 1 species